GCGCGUCGUCGUCAACGCGGCGACGGCCUUUUAUUGAUUUUUCCGUUUUCGCAUGUCGUUCGGUUGUUGUUGUUGAUAAGGAGAGUGAAUUUUUUCUGUCGACGGUCGAUAAAAUUUUUCGCGGGGGGGUUCUCCCCCUCUGGUUGCGGUUGUCCGUCAACCGCCGCCGCACCGCCACCACCUCUUCCGCCGCGGCCGCCUUCACUGCCUCCGGCCGCCGCUCAACGACGACGACGACGACGACCGAUACACGAAAAUAUUUACGGAACCGGAACUAAUGGCAGGAAAAGGCGCACGCACGCACGCACGCACGCACGCAUACUCGACACGCACACGAUGUGUAAACAAACAAACGUACGGAAGACGGUGACCGAAAACGGCGACGAACACGAACCCCCCGUCAUCGAUUCGACGGGGGCGAAAACGACCGAAAAAUUGAUGUGGAUGACGACGGCGACGGCUUUAACAACAACAAAUAACAAUAAGACGGCUCUAUACGGCAUUGCGGAACGUCGCUAACCGUACCCGCUCUCGUUUCCUGGUCUGCUCAGAUAGCCGCAAGUUCUGGACGAUGUUGGUAAAUAGCGUUUUCCGUGGAGCCCGUUCAGCAAAAAAACAUUUGAGUCAGGACGACGUCAUUAUCGUCUCUCCGUUGACUUCACACCAGAUUGUCAUAAGUUGAUGAGUAUUUAGUUUAUUUGUUGAAAAAAACGGUACUGAUACAAGGAUAAUGAUUAUUUAAAGAACUGAAUUGAUCGACUACCAGAGACGUUUAAUACUUACCGAAUACUACAAAUUCACUGGUUUGCAUACAAAAGAAUGGUUAUCUCAAGAUACAGAAGAAAUACCUGGCUUAUUUCCUCAUCACCUAGAUCCUGGUACCAUU